AAUAGAUACCCGGGUAGUCCACGCCGUAAACGAUGGAUACUGUCUGUUGGGGAGCAAUCUUCAGUGGAUAAGCGAAAGUGAUAAGUAUCCCACCUGGGGAGUACGUUCGCAAGAAUGAAACUCAAAGGAAUUGACGGGGGCCCGCACAAGCGGUGGAGCAUGUGGUUUAAUUCGAUGAUACGCGAGGAACCUUACCAAGGCUUAAAUGCAUAAUGACAGGACUGGAAACAGUUUUUUCUUCGGACAGGAUGCAAGGUGCUGCACGGCUGUCGUCAGCUCGUGCCGUGAGGUGUCAGGUUAAGUCCUAUAACGAGCGCAACCCCUAUCACUAGUUGCCAGCGUUUGAAGACGGGGACUCUGGUGAGACUGCCAACGCAAGUUGCGAGGAAGGUGGGGACGACGUCAAGUCAUCACGGCCCUUACGCCUUGGGCCACACACGUGCUACAAUGGCCGGUACAGAGGGCAGCUACUAUGUGAAUAGAUGCGAAUCUCGAAAGCCGGUCUCAGUUCGGAUUGGAGU
rnacentral:rRNA from 1 species